UACGGAGGGUGCAAGCGUUGUUCGGAAUCACUGGGCGUAAAGCGCGUGUAGGCGGCUAUCUAAGUCUGAUGUGAAAGCCCUGGGCUCAACUCAGGAAGUGCAUUGGAUACUGGAUAGCUGGAGUACCGGAGAGGAGGGUGGAAUUCCUGGUGUAGCGGUGAAAUGCGUAGAUAUCAGGAGGAACACCGGUGGCGAAGGCGUCCCUCUGGCAGGAUACUGACGCUGAGACGCGAAAGCGUGGGGAGCAAACAGG
rnacentral:rRNA from 1 species